rnacentral:rRNA from 1 species
AUGAACGCUGGCGGCGUGCCUAAUACAUGCAAGUCGAGCGAACGGACGAGAAGCUUGCUUUUCUGAUGUUAGCGGCGGACGGGUGAGUAACACGUGGAUAACCUACCUAUAAGACUGGGAUAACUUCGGGAAACCGGAGCUAAUACCGGAUAAUAUUUUGAACCGCAUGGUUCAAAAGUGAAAGACGGUCUUGCUGUCACUUAUAGAUGGAUCCGCGCUGCAUUAGCUAGUUGGUAAGGUAACGGCUUACCAAGGCAACGAUGCAUAGCCGACCUGAGAGGGUGAUCGGCCACACUGGAACUGAGACACGGUCCAGGCUCCUACGGGAGGCAGCAGUAGGGAAUCUUCCGCAAUGGGCGAAAGCCUGACGGAGCAACGCCGCGUGAGUGAUGAAGGUCUUCGGAUCGUAAAACUCUGUUAUUAGGGAAGAACAUAUGUGUAAGUAACUGUGCACAUCUUGACGGUACCUAAUCAGAAAGCCACGGCUAACUACGUG